rnacentral:rRNA from 1 species
UACGAAGGGGGCUAGCGUUGCUCGGAAUCACUGGGCGUAAAGGGUGCGUAGGCGGGUCGUUAAGUCGGGGGUGAAAUCCUGGAGCUCAACUCCAGAACUGCCUUCGAAACUGACGAUCUUGAGUUCGGGAGAGGUGAGUGGAACUGCGAGUGUAGAGGUGAAAUUCGUAGAUAUUCGCAAGAACACCGGUGGCGAAGGCGGCCAACUGGUCCGGAUCUGACGCUGAGGCGCGAAAGCGUGGGGAGCAAACAGG